AACGCACCUUGCGCUCCUUGGUAUUCCGAGGAGCAUGCCUGUUUGAGUGUCAUUAAAUUCUCAACCUCUCCAGCUUUUUGGCUGGGUGAGGAUUGGAUGUGGGGGUAUGCAGGUUUCUCUAUUGAAAUUAGCUCCCCCGAAAUACAUUAGCUGGUUGCCUUGUGUAAACUUGUCUAUUGGUGUGAUAAUUAUCUACGCCGUGGACUAUUUGCCGUUUUUAGCACUGCUUAUAAUCGUCUGUUCAUUCGGACAAUAUAUGACAAUUUGACCUCAAAUCAGGUAGGACUACCCGCUGAACUUAA
rnacentral:rRNA from 1 species